rnacentral:rRNA from 1 species
UUUUGGACAAUGGGGGCAACCCUGAUCCAGCCAUUCCGCGUGAGUGAAGAAGGCCUUCGGGUUGUAAAGCUCUUUUGUCCGGAACGAAACGGCUACGUCUAAUACACGUGGCUACUGACGGUACCGGAAGAAUAAGCACCGGCUAACUCUGUGCCAGCAGCCGCGGUAAUACAGAGGGUGCAAGCGUUGUUCGGAAUUACUGGGCGUAAAGCGCGUGUAGGCUGCAACGUAAGUCGGAUGUGAAAGCCCUUGGCUUAACCAAGGAAGUGCAUCCGAUACUGCGUCGCUUGAGUGUCGGAGGGGAUGGCGGAAUUCCCGGUGUAGAGGUGAAAUUCGUAGAUAUCGGGAGGAACACCUGUGGCGAAGGCGGCCAUCUGGACGAUAACUGACGCUGAGACGCGAAAGCGUGGGUAGCAAAC